rnacentral:rRNA from 1 species
UGAAGCGAAAGUAAAAUUUCGUGGAGGUCCGAACCCACGAGCGUUGAAAAGCUCGGGGAUGACUUGUGGGUAGCGGUGAAAUUCCAAUCGAGCCCGGAGAUAGCUGGUUCUCCCCGAAAUAGCUUUAGGGCUAGCCUCAAGGUGAGAGAUACGGAGGUAGAGCACUGAAUGUCCUAGGGGGUAUUGCACCUACCGAAGACUAUCAAACUCCGAAUGCCGUCAUCUUAUACUUGGGAGUCAGACUGUGGGUGAUAAGAUUCAUAGUCGAAAGGGCAACAGCCCAGAUCGUCAGCUAAGGUCCCUAAAUGUAAGUUAAGUGGUAAAGGAUGUGGGAUUGCACAGACAACCAGGAUGUUGGCUUAGAAGCAGCCACUCAUUCAAAGAGUGCGUAAUAGCUCACUGGUCGAGUGAUCCUGCGCCGAAGAUUUCCGGGGCUAAAACUUACUACCGAAGCUACGGCAUCAGUAAUGAUGGGUAGGGGAGCUUCCCAUACGGGUUGAAGCAUGACCGUAAGGACAUGUGGACAGUAUGGGAGUGAGAAUGUUGGCAUGAGUAGCGAGAUGUGGGUGAGAAUCCCACAGGCCGGAAACCCAAGGUUUCCAGGGGAAGGUUCGUCCGCCCUGGGUUAGUCGGGACCUAAGCUGAGGCCGAAAGGCGUAGGUGAUGGACAACAGGUUGAUAUUCCUGUACUACCGAUAACCGUUUGAGAGA